rnacentral:rRNA from 1 species
UGGUGAGCGAUUUGUCUGGUUAAUUCCGAUAACGAACGAGACUCUGGCCUAUUAAAUAGUUCGCCGAUUCCGAUCUGUCGGCGUUAACUUCUUAGAGGGACAAGUGGCUUUUAGCCACGCGAGAUUGAGCAAUAACA